rnacentral:piRNA from 1 species
UAAAUAAACUGUGUGAAAGAGAAAAG